ACAGGAUAAGGACCAGUAUAAAAACCCAAAGAAGGAAUAAAGGUGAGGUAUUUUGGGAAAGAAAGGAGAUGGGUGACUGUAAUGUUUAAGAAGAGAAGUAGAACCUCCUUCAUAUAUUUUCUUGUAUCCUGGAUACAUAAAAGAGCUCAUAAAGGUUCUAAAACGUGGAAGAAAGGGAGACGUUGAAAAUUCUUUGCUCAAUUAAGCUAACUGAAAUCAUUGAACUAAUCAAGGAAUUUUUUUCCCUUUUCAGUUUACAAACUAAAUGUACCUCUGGGUGCUCUCAUGGACUUGAACCCAUGGAUAAUUAGGCCAAAUAUCUAGCAAUCCAUCUCUUCAUUUACAACAAAUUUUAACACCAUGAAGAAAGAGUGAGUUAUUGGAAUAAGUCUUACCAGUGUGACAACAGCAACUGGAUCAGGGACGAUCCUCACAGUUGAACCAAAGGUCGUGGAGAAAACAACUGCAUCACAAGUUGUUACCACUGUGGAAACAACACCUUUACCAACGACUUUCCACACCGAGUACAUAAUCUCCGAGGAACAGAACACAACAGUGAUGAUGUGCACGGACAAGUUCGACAGCAGUAUGGUAACAAUACUGCCAGACCCUGAAGAGCAGAGAGUGAACAUGCUGUCCAUGACUGUGCUGGGUUUGAGAGUCCUACUGGCAAAAGGCAUCGCCUUCAAUACCCUCAUGAGCAUCAAACUGUUUCUUUUCUGAGACAUGGGGAUCGAACCCAAAGAAGAGCAGGAAAGAACAUGAACCAGCAGCACAAGGGGGCUGAACAAGCAGGGCCAGAGCUGCUGACAGAGACCAGCCAGGACACAAGGCAGCACCUUCCCCUGAAGACAUGCAACACUCUGCACUCCUGCCUGGCCAGCUGAUUUACACUCAAGAGUUUUAAGUGCUUUUGCUGUUUCCUCUCCUCUGAACACUGAAGAGAGUGGAUUUAUCCUCAUCCUCAGUAGGUCUCCCCACUCUUCUGGCAUUUCCAUAAAAGUGUCCAACCUGCUUCAGUAGCUUUGAACACUCCAGUGCUCACUGCAGAGAGAUGGCCUUUGAAAAGCACCUUUCCCAGGCAUGUUGUGUUACUGCCUGUGGAACUGGAGCAGCACUGCUGGGGGAAUUCCAGCACAGGAACUGCCAUUUCUAGCUUUGGAUUUAGAUUUAAUAAGAGUGUAUUACAGAUAAGAACAGCUCUGUAGAAUCUGGAGUGAUUUAAUUCAACCAGACAAUGCCAAUUUCUUGAUUCGGCCUGUAUUUCUUCUUCCAAACGUAUUGCACGUCCAUUUUAGGUUCCUGCAGUAGUGACAAAAAUAA